rnacentral:rRNA from 1 species
AUUGAACGCUGGCGGCAUGCCUAACACAUGCAAGUCGAGCGGAUGAAGGGAGCUUGCUCCUGGAUGCAGCGGCGGACGGGUGAGUAAUGCCUAGGAAUCUGCCUGGUAGUGGGGGAUAACGUCCGAAAACGGGCGCUAAUACCGCAUACGUCCUGAGGGAGAAAUUGGGGGAGCUUCGGACCUCUCGCUAUCAGAUGAGCCUAUGUCGGAUUAGCUAGUGGGUGGGGUAAAGGCCUACCAAGGCUACGAUCCGUAACUGGUCUGAGUGAAUGAUCAGUCAGAUGGGAACUGAGACACGGUCCAGACUCCGCCGGGGGGCAGCAGUGGGGAAUCUUGGACGAUGGACGAAAGCCUGAUCCAGCCAUGCCGCGUGUGGGAAGAAGGUCUUCGGAUUGUAAAGCACUUUAAGUUGGGAGGAAGGGCAGUAAGUUAAUACCUUGCUGUUUUGACGUUACCAACAGAAUAAGCACCGGCUAACUUCGUG